rnacentral:rRNA from 1 species
CAGCCGCCGCGGUAACACGGAGGGUGCAAGCGUUAAUCGGAAUUACUGGGCGUAAAGCGCACGCAGGCGGUCUGACAAGUCAGAUGUGAAAUCCCCGGGCUUAACCUGGGAACUGCAUUUGAAACUGUCAGGCUGGAGUCUUGUAGAGGGGGGUAGAAUUCCAGGUGUAGCGGUGAAAUGCGUAGAGAUCUGGAGGAAUACCGGUGGCGAAGGCGGCCCCCUGGACAAAGACUGACGCUCAGGUGCGAAAGCGUGGGGAGCAAACAGGAUUAGAUACCCCAGUAGUCCCUGUCUCUUAUAA